rnacentral:tRNA from 1 species
AAAAGUGACUAAAAACAU